rnacentral:ribozyme from 1 species
GCGAUUCUUUUUAAGGAUGGCCGUUGGAGGAAAGUCCGGGCUCCACAGGGCAGGGUGCCAGGUAACGCCUGGGGGCCACACUGGGAACGGUGUGGCUACGGCUAGUGCCACAGAGAAGAUACCGCCUGUUCCUUCCUUGUGUCGGAAUCGGUAAGGGUGAAAAGGUGCGGUAAGAGCGCACCGCGCCGCUGGUAACAGUGGUGGCAGGGUAAACCCCACCCGGAGCAAGACCAAAUAGGGAUCCGUU